UACGUAGGGGGCGAGCGUUGUCCGGAUUUAUUGGGCGUAAAGAGCGUGUAGGCGGCCACCGCAAGUCGACUGUGAAAUCUCCGGGCUUAACCCGGAAAGGUCAGCCGAUACUGCGGGGCUAGAGUGCAGGAAGGGGCAACUGGAAUUCUCGGUGUAGCGGUGAAAUGCGUAGAUAUCGAGAGGAACACCUGCGGCGAAGGCGGGUUGCUGGGCUGACACUGACGCUGAGGCGCGAAAGCGUGGGGAGCGAACAGG
rnacentral:rRNA from 1 species